AGCUGGUCUGAAGGUAGUGAGUUAUCUCAACUGAUUGUUCACAGUCAGUUACAGAUCGAGCUCCUUGUUCUACUCUUUGCCCCCUUCUCACUACUGCACUUGACUAGUCUUAA
rnacentral:Y_RNA from 1 species